GCAAGUCGAGCGCGAAAGCCUUUCGGGGUGAGUAGAGCGGCGGACGGGUGAGUAACGCGUAGGAAUCUACCUGGUAGUGGGGGACAACUCGGGGAAACUCGAGCUAAUACCGCAUACGCCCUUCGGGGGAAAGCGGGGGAUCUUCGGACCUCGCGCUAUUGGAUGAGCCUGCGUUGGAUUAGCUUGUUGGUGAGGUAAAGGCUCACCAAGGCGACGAUCCAUAGCUGGUCUGAGAGGAUGAUC
rnacentral:rRNA from 1 species